rnacentral:rRNA from 1 species
CCUACGGGUGGCAGCAGUGAGGAAUAUUGGUCAAUGGACGAGAGUCUGAACCAGCCAAGUCGCGUGAAGGAUGACUGCCCUAUGGGUUGUAAACUUCUUUUAUAUGGGAAUAAAACGUUCCACGUGUGGGAUUUUGUAUGUACCAUAUGAAUAAAGCACGGCUAACUACGUGCCAGCAGCCGCGGUAAUACGGAGGAUCCGGGCGUUAUCCGGAUUUAUUGGGUUUAAAGGGAGCGUAGGUGGAUUGUUAAGUCCGUUGUGAAAGUUUGCGGGUCAACCGUAGAAUUGCAGUUGAAACUGGCAGUCUUGAGUACAGUAGAGGUAGGCGGAAUUCGUGGUGUAGCGGUGAAAUGCUUAGAUAUCACGAAGAACUCCGAUUGCGAAGGCAGUUCACUGGACCGCAACUGACACUGAGGCUCGAAAGUGUGGGUAUCGAACAGGAUUAGAUACCCCAGUAGUC